AGGGUGCUGACUUUAAGACACCGUCUCAGGUU
rnacentral:piRNA from 1 species